UGGGGAAUAUUGCACAAUGGGCGCAAGCCUGAUGCAGCCAUGCCGCGUGUGUGAAGAAGGCCUUCGGGUUGUAAAGCACUUUCAGCGAGGAGGAAGGUGGUGAGCUUAAUACGCUCAUCAAUUGACGUUACUCGCAGAAGAAGCACCGGCUAACUCCGUGCCAGCAGCCGCGGUAAUACGGAGGGUGCAAGCGUUAAUCGGAAUUACUGGGCGUAAAGCGCACGCAGGCGGUUUGUUAAGUCAGAUGUGAAAUCCCCGGGCUCAACCUGGGAACUGCAUUUGAAACUGGCAAGCUAGAGUCUCGUAGAGGGGGGUAGAAUUCCAGGUGUAGCGGUGAAAUGCGUAGAGAUCUGGAGGAAUACCGGUGGCGAAGGCGGCCCCCUGGACGAAGACUGACGCUCAGGUGCGAAAGCGUGGGGCAGCAAACAGGAUUAGAUACCCUGGUAGUCCAGCGCUGUAAACGAUGUCGAUUUGGAGGUUGUGCCCCUUGAGGCGUGGCUUCCGGAGCUAACGCGUUAAAUCGACCGCCUGGGGAGUACGGCCGCAAGGUUAAAACUCAAAUGAAUUGACGGGGU
rnacentral:rRNA from 1 species